rnacentral:lncRNA from 1 species
AUAUACUUUUUGUGGAUAUAUUGAGAAAAUCAACUUUUCAUUUUUCUGAUCUCUGAAAAUUUAUACCCCGCUUUGUACACAAUUAUAUAUAGGAAGCAUUGAAUGCAUGCUAUUUUUUAAAUCGAUCUAACACAAAACUUACUUAUUCAAAAAGUAUUGUCUUUAUUUCAAAAAAUAGAAAAAGAUUCUUAGUUUCCAUUCCUUUGCAAUUCCAUAAUGCAAAAAGUGGAUAAAAUGGUGAAAUUCUACUACCGAAAACAUAUAUAUUUGCCUAUAUUUCUUUUAUUUACUUUAUGUUAGAGCGCCCUCUACUGACCACAAUCCACAAACUAACUAUACAACAACUAUUACGAAACGGUAAACAAAUUUGGUGCAUCGGGUUUUUUUUUGGCUCAAAGUUAUACUCCUCGUUUACUUGGCACGAUUACCGUUUGUUUUUAUUGAUUAUGGUUUUAUACAUACGCAUUCUGAGAUGUUCGAACUUGCCUUUGAAGAAUUUUCAGUUCGAACUGUGCUGUGAUCAGGUGAUCGGAUAAUUGAGACGGAAAUUGCAUGAGAAGGCAGCCGAAGCUCCGGGCAUGAUCGAGUAAGUGGACGAUCGUUGUUCAUGGCUGCGAGUGUCACUGUCAGAUUUGAUUGAAUCGUGGUUGAUUAUUCCAGCACGAUUUCGUCUAAUAUGUGAUCGUCUGUGCUGAGUGAUGUUGGUGCAUACAGUGGUAAUGAAAAGAAAAUUGGCAACCAGUCAUCUACAAGACGCUGCAUUCAUAUAUACUGUAUGGAAAGGAACAAGAAAAUGGAGGUAGUUUGUCACCUUAAUUGAAGUGCAGUCGACAUAUAGCCGAGUUUACAGUUGACAGUUUAUAUCUUAUGGGUAGAGAAUUUGAACUAAUAAGGAAAGUCCCUGCAGGAAACAAAUCAGGUAUGAUGGCCGUGAUGAGAUAGUGCUGAAAUCUGCGACUAUUUCAAGCAGUCUUGCCUGUCCAGCAUUUACAGACAUGACAUUUGAAGCUCUAUCCAUAGUCAGUGUAGUGAUGGAACCCAUUCAUUUAUACACCUUUUCUGCAUAUGUUUGAAGCAAGAAGCACCUGUUGGACAGAACACAGUAAGCCUGUAAUGUCAAGGGCUAUGAGAGUUGAUUCUUCCAUCACAGCACUGCACCUAGAGGUUGUAACCUUUCUGGCAGACCACACUUUCUACUCGACACCUUUCUUCCAUCACAGCACUGCACCUAGAGGUUGCAACCUUUCUGGCAGACCACACUUUCUACUCGACACCUUUCUUCCAUCACAGCACUGCACCUAGAGGUUGCAACCUUUCUGGCAGACCACACUUUCUACUCGACACCUUUUCUGCAUAUGUUUGAAGCAAGAAGCACCUGUUGGACAGAACACAGUAAGCCUGUAAUGUCAAGGGCUAUGAGAGUUGAUUCUUCCAUCACAGCACUGCACCUAGAGGUUGCAACCUUUCUGGCAGACCACACUUUCUACUCGUGUCAGUUUCACAUACAUACUCAACCAUGAGGGAGAUAUACCUUGCAGACAAUCAACUGAUGCAAUUCUGGUUGAUCUUACAAAUAUCAUUAUACAGGUAGAAGUUAAAGGAGAAUGAAACCAUUGGAACAAGAUAGCUUGUGUGAAAACAGAAAAAGCAAAGAAACAGAUCAACGAA